rnacentral:rRNA from 1 species
CGGGUGCGUAACGCGUAUGCAACUUACCUUAUGCAGGGGGAUAGCCCGUGGAAACGCGGAUUAAUAUCCCAUAGAUCAGUAAUAUCGCAUGGUAUAACUGGUAAAACUCAGGUGGCAUAAGAUGGGCAUGCGUCUGAUUAGCUAGUUGGUAGGGUAACGGCCUACCAAGGCGACGAUCAGUAGGGGUUCUGAGAGGAUUAACCCCCACACUGGUACUGAGACACGGACCAGACUCCUACGGGAGGCAGCAGUGAGGAAUAUUGGUCAAUGGGCGCAAGCCUGAACCAGCCAUCCCGCGUGAAGGAAGAAGGCCCUACGGGUUGUAAACUUCUUUUCUGUUUGAAGAAUAAGCUCGUCGAGACGAGUGAUGCCGGUAGGACAGGAAUAAGCAUCGGCUAACUCCGUGCCAGCAGCCGCGGUAAUACGGAGGAUGCAAGCGUUAUCCGGAUUUAUUGGGUUUAAAGGGUGCGCAGGUGGUUUAAUAAGUCAGUGGUGAAAGUCUGGCGCUUAACGUUAGGAUUGCCAUUGAUACUGUUAGACUUGAAUAUGGAUGAGGUAGGCGGAAUGUGUAGUGUAGCGGUGAAAUGCUUAGAUAUUACACAGAACACCGAUUGCGAAGGCAGCUUACUAAUCCAUCAUUGACGCUGAGGCACGAAAGCGUGGGGAUCAAACAGGAUUAGAUACCCUGGUAGUCCACGCGGUAAACGAUGAUUACUCGCUGUUUGCGAUAUACAGUAAGCGGCUAAGCGAAAGCGUUAA